rnacentral:rRNA from 1 species
UGCGCAGGCGGAUUGGUAAGUCAGUGGUGAAAUCCUACAGCUUAACUGUAGAACUGCCAUUGAUACUAUUAGUCUUGAGUACAAUUGAAGUGGGCGGAAUGUGUCAUGUAGCGGUGAAAUGCAUAGAGAUGACACAGAACACCGAUAGCGAAGGCAGCUCACUGAACUGUAACUGACGCUGAGGCACGAAAGCGUGGGGAUCAAACAGGAUUAGAUACCCUGGUAGUCC